AUCCAGAAGAUCAAGGUCAAGAACUAAGUUAACUCGGCCAGCUUACUGUAAGCCACAUGACAAUGUUGAAAGAAAGAAAGAUGAUGCAUUGGGGAAAAUAUCAGGUGGAGUGAAUAUUGAGAAGGGAGAAAAACUCAUUCAAUAUACGAGAAGGAAGUACAAGGUGAAAAUAGAUUGCUCCACAAGUUGGGGUCCAGGCUGCCCCAGGAAUCACAUGGA
rnacentral:misc_RNA from 1 species